AUUUUACUAUCUCUUUCCCUGUGCCUUGCCUGGUUUGGAAAUUCUGGCCGUUUAUUGUUUAAGCAAAACAAAGCUAUAAUAUUGUAAGAUUGCUUAAUUUAUUAAAUUUUUUUGUGGAUAUUUAAACGAAGGUGACAAUCUGUUUUCUUAUAGGUGGUAAGUUUUCUUCAUACAGUUCUUUUGUGUGACAAACUGGAUUUCAGCACGGCGUUAGUGGUUUGUCCUCUUAAUACUGCUUUGAAUUGGAUGAAUGAAUUUGAGAAGUGGCAAGAGGGAUUAAAAGAUGAUGAGAAGCUUGAGGUUUCUGAAUUAGCAACUGUGAAACGUCCUCAGGAGAGAAGCUACAUGCUGCAGAGGUGGCAAGAAGAUGGUGGUGUUAUGAUCAUAGGCUAUGAGAUGUAUAGAAAUCUUGCUCAAGGAAGGAAUGUGAAGAGUCGGAAACUUAAAGAAAUAUUUAACAAAGCUUUGGUUGAUCCAGGCCCUGAUUUUGUUGUUUGUGAUGAAGGCCAUAUUCUAAAAAAUGAAGCAUCUGCUGUUUCUAAAGCUAUGAAUUCUAUACGAUCAAGGAGGAGGAUUAUUUUAA
rnacentral:sRNA from 1 species